rnacentral:lncRNA from 10 species
CAAGGAAUCCAGGGCUACUCGGGAUUAAGUGACUUGCCCAAGGCCAUGAGGUCACAGUGAUGCAGUCCAGCACUCUUCCUAUGGCACCCCAGUGUCUCUCAAUAUGGCUGUGCUGUCCGCACAGACGGGCUGAUCCCACCACCCUCCCCAGUUUCUAUCCCUGCUUCUAAAACCUGCAACUUGUCCUGUAAGCCAUCUUAGCACCUGCCUCUGGCUUCUAAGCAAACUUCAGGGCUAGGCUGUCCAUCCCAUCAUAGAUCCUUCUGUCAGUUAAAUCCUAAGUCAUUAAACAAGCAUUUUCCCCUGAGCCUAUAUGUGGUUAUAGCAACUUAAGUAAAAAAUACAUUUGUUCAUGGUGGAAAAGUGGUAUAACCAUAAGACAUAUGUAAUUUGUUGGGAAACAGCCUCUCUAUUCUUACUUUCAAAUGUCACAGUGAAUACUUGAAACUAAACUAUGCCGCUGGAAAGCUGGAGUUAAGAAUUUACUUGGAAACCUUAAACAUGGGUAAUUUUGGUUAGUAGCCAUUCUGUGACUUUGCUUAGACAUGACAGGUUAAGGGCUGUAGGGCCCAAGGCAGAGUUGACAGACACAAGCCCUCUCUCACCUCCUCAUCUGCAUAGGAAGGAUAAAUCCCUGUCCUGUAGGCUCCCAAUGGUCCUGCCCACAGGGUAAUUGCAGAGAAGAUAUUCUCUGAUGAGAUCAACCCAUGCAAGGCAGAACUACCAAUAUCUGUACUGCCAGAGAGACUCCCCUUAUUCCACAGUGAAUCUGAGCAGUACUAGACUCUCUCUUUACCUCUGACCAAAUACAGAUUGCAGUUCAAUUUGGAUCUGGAAAAACUGGUGGUGUAGUGGAAAGAACAAGUCUGUGGAGAUCCUGAGUUUCAACCCUGGUUAAUAAAUUCUACUAAACAUAUUUGGUUAGUGAUCUCGGGCAAAUUACUUAACUUCUUUGGGUCUCAGUCUCCACAUUAAUGCUGCUGCAGCGAGGGGCGAUGAUUCUGAAGCUUCAUAUCUUCAGAACGGUAGAUGCUAAGCACUGAAUGGUGCCUUUCAUGAACAUGGCUUUACCUUGGCUUCAAAACAACCCUAUGAGGUAGAAAUAUUCCUGCUCCAUGUUUCCUUUUUGCCCUCUGGACUGAGUCCUUUUGACGAAAGAACACUCAGAACCUGCUGAGCUUUGGGCUGGCACUGGGAUUCACUCACUCUCAGGUGAGCAAGGGAAAUCACCUGUGGGAUUCCCAUAUGUAAAACACACCUCAAAUUGGAGCCACCUGCGUGAAGGAGGUUUCAUGAACACCGAAAACACCAGCCUUUGGCUUUUCCUCAGUGAGAGCCCACAGCGCCUCCUUGUGGACUAUCUGAUAAACUGGAACCAGUUCUCGCAGGGCUGAAGGACGGUGGUCACCUAGAGGCAUUGCCCAGGAUCUGCACUGCGCUGUCCACCCAGGAAUUACUCUGUUUUCUUCUACUUUUAAAUAAAUUUGGGAGAUGGGCUGGGUGUGGUGGCUCACACCUGUAAUUUCAGCGUUUUGGAAGACCGAGGCGGGAGGACGGCGUGGGACCAGGAGUUCAUGACUGGCCUGGGCAACACAGUGAGACCCUGUCUCUAUUUUAAACAACGACAACAACAUAUUUAAAAAAUAAAAAUAAGAAAAUAAAUUUGGAAGAUGAACACAUUCUAUUUUAAUUCUGUUAGUGAUCAGUAAAACUGGCUUAAAAGCUGAGUUUCCUUUGGUUCCCUUUUGUUUUAUAAAAAAUGUCUGUGUGUACCUUUGUCAACAGCCUGAAUCCUAUGAAUCACAGGUUCCCCUGGGGAAGAUGGGGGUUUGAGUUUGGUUUCUUACUUGUGUUUAUAGGGUUCUGGGCAACUUGGGAGGGCGAGACACUAUGCCCUCAUGGGAUAACACUAAUU